GACGAACGCUGGCGGCGUGCCUAAUACAUGCAAGUCGAGCGCAGGAAACUGACGGAACUCUUCGGAGGGAAGGCAGUGGAAUGAGCGGCGGACGGGUGAGUAACACGUAAGGAACCUGCCUCAAGGAUCGGGAUAACUCCGAGAAAUCGGAGCUAAUACCGGAUAGUUCAACGGACCGCAUGGUCCGCUGAUGAAAGGCGCUCCGGCGUCACCUUGAGAUGGCCUUGCGGUGCAUUAGCUAGUUGGUGGGGUAAUGGCCCACCAAGGCGACGAUGCAUAGCCGACCUGAGAGGGUGAUCGGCCACACUGGGACUGAGACACGGCCCAGACUCCUACGGGAGGCAGCAGUAGGGAAUCUUCCACAAUGGACGAAAGUCUGAUGGAGCAACGCCGCGUGAGUGAUGAAGGUUUUCGGAUCGUAAAACUCUGUUGUAAGGGAAGAACACGUACGAGAGGAAAUGCUCGUACCUUGACGGUACCUUACGAGAAAGCCACGGCUAACUACGUGCCAGCCGCCGCCGUAACAC
rnacentral:rRNA from 1 species